ACACUUAAGCCUAAACGGCUAUAUAUAAUUAACUUAAAACUCUAAAGACUAAAAAUAAUUACCUAAUAACAAAUAAAAUAAAUAAUAAAUAUUUGGAAAUAUCCCAAAUAUUUAUCAGCAUCAUUCGAUGACAAGCUUGACUGUAGGCAUCGAGUUGUCAAUGUAAAACAGAUCGAUUCCCUUUGAAACUUGUUUCUCCUGCGUCGUUGCUUUCAAUCAAUUCUGGCUCUCCUCUCUUCUACUUACAAGGAUUACGACUUCAGGCAGAGCCGGACCUGUAAAAUUGGGGGCCCUAUUCAAAAAAAAAAAAAAAUUGAUAUGUAUAUAUUGUAAUUUAUUUUUUAUAUUAUAAAAUUUGACUAUUAAAAUUUUCAAAUUAGAAACAAUUAAAUCCAUUGAGAUUAUGAUGAGUGCGCAACAAAAUAUAUGUUAAAAUCAGUUACAAUUUUGAAUUCUACCUAAAAACCAAGAAUUUUUUCAGUUUUUUUAACUUUUUUAGUGAAAUGUUACCUGGGUACGUUUGGUCCAGGAGGAAAAAGAGAUAGAAAAUGAUUUAUUAUCACUAAAACGAUAACUACCCAUGGCCCACCUAAUAUUCCAUUGACAUCUCCACAACUAAACUUCUGUUAUCAACGUUGUAUACAUCACAUUAGUUAUAUAAAUAUACAUACAUGUACAUAUAGAAAAAAUUUAGAAGUGGGGGCCCCAUCUCAAUGUUUCGUAACACUAUGUACAGGUCCGGCUCUGACUUCAGGAACAAGUCUGGCCCCUCCUACGGU
rnacentral:lncRNA from 1 species